rnacentral:rRNA from 1 species
GACGAACGCUGGCGGCGUGCUUAACACAUGCAAGUCGAACGGAAAGGCCCUGCUUUUGUGGGGUGCUCGAGUGGCGAACGGGUGAGUAACACGUGAGUAACCUGCCCUUGACUUUGGGAUAACUUCAGGAAACUGGGGCUAAUACCGGAUAGGAGCUCCUGCUGCAUGGUGGGGGUUGGAAAGUUUCGGCGGUUGGGGAUGGACUCGCGGCUUAUCAGCUUGUUGGUGGGGUAGUGGCUUACCAAGGCUUUGACGGGUAGCCGGCCUGAGAGGGUGACCGGCCACAUGGGGACUGGGAUACGGCCCAGACUCCUACGGGAGGCAGCAGUGGGGAAUAUUGCACAAUGGGCGGAAGCCUGAGGCAGCAACGCCGCGUGCGGGAUGACGGCCUUCGGGUUGUAAACCGCUUUCGCCUGUGACGAAGCGUGAGUGACGGUAAUGGGUAAAGAAGCACCGGCUAACUACGUG